rnacentral:lncRNA from 1 species
AUGUUGGGCGGUGCCUGCAAUGGUCAGGGAGGCAGCAGAGAGUCACCGCCACCUGCGUCAUCGCUGCUGUGCCGCAAACCUGCCCACGGUCUUUCAGAACCAAUCCCGCCCCACUCCCACCUCCCAAAGGCACAAACAGAAAACAAGUCCCACAGGUAUGUGACGCAUUCCCAGAUCCUUCAGCCAACUCAACAUCAGCUACUUCUCUGCGAUUGGGUCCAGAUUGAGGUUCUCCCAAGACAGACUUCAUUGGAUCCACGUUCAAGAGGACUGCCAGGGUUUCCUGAGCCCCCUACAUCGCUAAGUGCCAAGGCCUUAAGACUUGGUUACGUGUAUUACAACGGCAAGAGUACCAGCACCAGGAAAGGACUCAUUGGACCUCUCAGCUUUUCUAUAUUACCAAAUGUAAUAACCUUAUCAAUAAAGUAGAGUAAGCCAAAUUCCUCUGUGUGACACCAUCACCAGCUGAUAAAGCCCAAGGAAAAAGAAUAACUUAGACUAGAGCCCUAUCUUUUCUUGAGGAGCUGAGUUUUAGAGGAGCUAUUCUGAAAUCUGUGCUGCUAGUAAGUAACUGAUAACAUUAUAGACUGGAUUGGUCCCAGAGUUCAGAGACUUGUAAUUGAAUGAAAGAUAGACAUCGAAAUCUUGAAGAAUUACACUGAGGUGCAAGCCAAAGUUAACACUCUUCAAAUAAUGUUUGUUGAACUGAGAAGUUGCUAAACCAAAGCUCUAAUAGGACUGGUUAUUUGGGCAUCUUUCUGUCAUUUUUUGUCUCUUGGUGUUACUAAGAAUUGUCUUUCUAAGUCCAGAUGUUCUCAGACAGUUCACAUUGUCCUUAUUGUGGACAACAGUGGUUUCGUAGUUUAGAACUAGGCCACUGGUUGUACCAAACUGAACUUGUUGAAAAUGAAUGUUACCGAGUCUUUUUAGACCAUAUUAAUAGAGCUGAUUAUUGCCCUGAAUGUUAUCCUGAUAAUCCUGCUAAUAGAAGCCUUGUUCUUCCUUGGUCUUUCCCACUUGAGUGGGCUCCCCAAAAUCUCACCAGGUGGACCUUUGAAAAAGUUUGCCAUCCCUUUCUUCUGUGUCCUCCACUGCAUAGAAAAAAAGAUACAUGACUCCCGAGUAGCUGGUUUUAACCCUGCAUUAUAAUCUUGACCAGAACAGACAAAACCUUAAACAAAAAACUUGGCAAAACAAGUAACUUCUAUAAUGAUCAAAAUCAUGGAAAUUCUAGAGAGUUUUGUGCUAGAAGCCUAAGGAAGAUGGAAAAAUAACUUAAUUUCUUUUUUGUUUGUGGUACUGGUUCCCUAUACUUGCUCUGGUAGACAAGUGCUUUACCACUGAGCUAUGCCCUCAGGCUUUAUUUCUAAAUCUGAUCAGAUGAUCACUAUUUUUGAGAACUCCUUAAAUUGUUGAGUCUGCUUCUGUGGUCUACACUUGUUUUGUUCAGCAUGAAUUUAGUCUGUCUUCCAGAGGGACUGUUCAUUUAGAACCAGACAAAUCCAUAAUACCUAUAAAUGAUGUUUUAGAGCUAACUUGUCUCUCCUAAGAAGUUCCAGAGCUUAAUUAUUGACAUAUGACAAGAUAGUCCUAAAGGGCAGGCCUCAUACUGUGUGCCCCAUAAUUGUAUUUCUAACAAUAACUUCUGUGGGAAAGUCACUGUAGUUGGUUUCCAGAUUAUUCCAAUAAAUUUUAAUAAGAAACUUGUUUUAAAUCCCCCUUUUUAUUAAUAAAUAUAUGUGUGUAUAUGUAUAUAUAUAAAAUUUAUUCAUAUAUAAUUGUUUAUUCCUCAUUGGUUUUGAUUUGACUCAUCCUUAGAGUGGUUGUCAAAAUAUUAAUAACUGGUCACUAUCAGAGAAGUCAUAUCUGUAAGGCAACACUUAACAUAGGUUACACAAAAAGAUGUAAAAAUGCUACCUGUUUGUACUUACUUGGUUCUACAUAACCAAAAACUAUCCUGUCUAUGUGGUAACUAAACUUAAAGUGUCGGGUCCUAGAAAUGAGAAAGCACCUAUAUAUUGAGAUUUAUGGAAAAAAAAUGAAUUAUCAAGAUUCAAUAUAUAUUCAUGGAAGCAUCUUUCUUAAGAAAGUCCUGGCCGGGGAUUUGGCUCAGUGGUUUUGCCGCCUGCUGUGCAAGCACAAGGACCCAAGUUCGAUCCCCGGUCCAAAAAUGAAAAAAAAAAAACUAAGAAAGUCUUGCUAGACAGUGGCCACAUUCUGGCCUCUUAUUUAUGAAACUCCCAAAACCAGUGUUACAGUUAGGUAAUUUUGAAAAAGCUGUUUAAAAAUCUCUCAGAAUCCACUGAACAAUUUUUAAAUUCCACUUAAGAUUAGCUAGGUAAUCUGGUACUUGUGUGGCAGCUCAAAGAUGUUAUCAAAGACCCAUGUUCUUUCUGUCCUCCCCUACUGGGAUCCUUAUGCUUGCUUUUUGUCCUCAUGGUAUUUCCUCAAUGAGUGCUGUAUGGUUUUGUUGCACCUGACAUUUCAGCACCAAUCAAAGGCUAGACAUUGGGAGCAGAGGGCUUUCUCCUUUCAAUUCUGGCCUUUAUUUGGGAUUAAAACUUUUCCCAAAAGUCCCUAGAAGAAUUCACAUCUCAUUAGAAGGUACCAUUGCAUGAGUGUGGGAAAACCUGGCAAAGUGGAAUGGUAUUGGCAUUCCCCAGGUAAGGCACAUUGCCUCUGCUGGUAAAAUUAGAAUUCUUUCAGGAAGGAAGCAGUAGAGAAUGAAUGCUAUUUCUAAUGCAACAAAUCAUACUUGCCACAUGUUGUAAAACCUAAAAGUUAUUUUUCUGUAUAAAGAAUGUACCCCAGAAAUUCACCCCUGUUAUCUGCCUUAUGUCUGUCAUGAUGGCAGUUCUCUUCUGUUAUUGCUGAAUAAACUAUGGACUGCUAAAAAAUAAAUAGAUAAAUAAAUAAAUAAAUGAAUUAGCUUCAGUUGGGAGCAAAUGAAACUGCUUUUAUUUAGUUUCUAAGUUAAAACAUUCCAAGAACUACUUAAUGUUUCAUGGAUAUAUCUAAAUAUAUAAUUUGUAGCAGUCGUUGAAAAUAAAAUUUCAAAUCUUACAGACA